CAGUCGUACCGGCGGAUAAUCAGCCUUUCGGGUGCGAUUCUGUGGGGCGUGAGGAGCUUAACCGCCUUCAUGUUUUGCAUAUUUGUGCUCUUGGGUGUACUUGUCUGUGUGGUAGGUUAACAUCAAUUUCGGUCGUCAUAAAAUGAUCGGAGGAAUGUAGCUUUGGUCUCGUAUCGAAGUGUUAUAGACUCUGGUAGAUGUGACGAUUGGGGAUUGAGGAUUGCAACGGAUACCCUUCGGGCUACCCGUCUGAUCUCUGAAGGUUGCUCCGGUGUCGAAGCGUGCUUACGGUCAUCG
rnacentral:rRNA from 1 species